UGCAUCAUGCAGUACACAGCCAGAAGCAUCUGCUGAAGACAAAUGGUUGUUUUCCAUUGAUCUGUAGACAACUGAGUGUCUCCCAAAAGUACCUCAGUUGCAAAUAAUGAUAAAUCAGAUCCCAGAAAAUUUCACUGCAGUGGAGGUUUUACACAUUUUCAAAAAAUCUUUGUGUGGUUUUAUUUCUCACAUAUAAUCAAGCACAAUGGAUUGCUCCUGCUUUUUAAUGAUGUAGUGGCAAGCUACUUUCCGAGGUAUUUAACUAUUGACAUUCGUUAUUGAAUUAUCAUCUGCCUGUAUAGAUAGAAGUGUCUACAGAGAAAAACACAUUACUUCCAGGCAUGUCCAAGAAGAAUCUGGCUCCAUCUUCUCAGUAUCCUCCAGUCAGGAAGCUAUAGACACUGCUGUUCCCUGAGCCUGCUCUUCCUCAGGCCAGAUGAACCCAGCUCCUUCAGCUUCUCCAUGUCCAUCAUAUGCUACAAUCUCUGAGUGACUUGAUGGCCUCCUACUCCACAUGCGUCCUCACAGGUGCCAAAAAGAGGGGAAUGAUCACUUCUCUGGUUCUGCUGCUAUACUCUUGCUAAUACAGCCCAGGAUGAGUCUGGCCUUCUUUCUUCAAGCGUGUUUGUUGGAUUAUGUUUGAGGACCUCCAGAUCCUUUUCUGCAGAGCUGUUUUCCAGGCAACAGCCCCCUCCAGCCUAUGUUGUUAUCCUAUCUCAGAUGCAAGCCUUUUCAAAUAAAGUAAGAAAUGAGUAAUCAACUUGCUUGCAAAACCCAAAUAAUUUUCUGUAUGGCCAGCUUUACCAGGUUCUGUAGUCUUUCAUCACUAAUGCUCUUAUAUGAAGUUGAAAUGCAGAGGAUUUCUAGUGGCAGUCCCCUCCCAUGGGGGCUCAUGCUGUGAGAUGACUUCAGUGUUCAUUGUAUUCUAACGUGGAUCAGAUUCUUUACGUAAAUAAAUGACUUGUGGCUAACUGACA